rnacentral:tRNA from 1 species
AUUUAUAUAGUUUAAUUAAAAACUUUAUAUUUUCAAUAUAAAAAUAAAUUUAAAAA